GGUGGAUUAACCGACUGAGCGCUCAGCCAAUAGGGGCGCCCUUCUUUGAGCGGAGGCGGGGCCCGACGUUUGCGUCAAUGCGUCACUCGACCGCGUGCAGGCGGCGGGGGACGUAAAGGACUCCAGGGGCCAGUGCUGAACUUCCGGGUUUCUCUCGACUCAUCGGUUUUGUCCCUGCUUCACUGGACAUAAUGCGUGGCGUGACCUUCUGCAGCUGUGAGAUGACAACGGUGACGACCAUCCUGGAAAGGCACUGAAGGUUGCCGUCGAUAUUUCUGACUUGCACCGGCACCUUUCCAGUCUCAAAGUGGAUUGAUGGCACAAGACGUUGAGCUGCCAUCUUGCUUAACGCCCCCACUGGACUGACGCCACCUUUACAAGCCACCUGAAAUGACUCCCCGGCCUUGAAUUGAAGCCUUCGUUCAAGGCCCAGGGCGCCCACGGAGACUCAAUAGCCCCUGCAAAAGCAGCCCCCGGCCUUGAAACAUGAUGGGGCCGAUUUAAGCACAUCUGGCCAUGCUCUUCAGAAAGAAAAGGCCUUUAGCAAAGCCAAAAAGAAAGAAAGAAAGAAAGAAAGAAAGAAAGAAAGAAAGAAAGAAAGAAAGAAAGCAGAAACAAUAGAUGCUAUACAUUUAAGAGGCAUGAAAAUAACACACCAGAGAACUUGUGUUUUGGGGCAGAAUAAAAAUAUGUUAAAUAAAAUAAAAAUAAAUAAAUACACUCCAAAAGCAGAGAGGCAGCUCUGAACAUAAUUCUGCCUUAUAGCAUUG